GAGGGUAUAGCUCAAGUGGUAGAGCACAUGCUCGGCAUGCACGAGGUCUUGGGUUCAAUCCCCAGGGCCUCCA
rnacentral:tRNA from 1 species